rnacentral:lncRNA from 1 species
GAGAAGGGAGGAGACCCUAUAUAAGGGCUGCAUUGAGGGGGGCAGCUUGUGCACCUGAGGCAGCAGUGUGGGACAGUAAGGAUGUGGGAGCAGGACCACGUGGCUGUGGGAUGGACUGUUCAAGAUGCUCUUGCAGAGGAAUGAGCUCCAGCUCUGAGGACAAGAGAGACCGGCAGUGGUAGCUGAAGCCAUGAAGUGACUUGGCUGGAUGUCUCCACCAGUGAUGUGACUGUGCUUAGCAAGAAAGAAGCGGUGCUGGGCAGCUCUGAGAGGUUACCAGAACUGGGUAAGAAGAAUGACACAGACAGUGUUCACCAUCAUAGGUUCAAAGGAUCCAUCAAAGUUAACUUCAGAUAUUUAAUGAGAACCACCUUGACAUGCAAACGUAGCCUUCCAGACCCCUUUCCAGCAAGGCAUCAGUGUGUAUUCCCAAAUAUAUGGCUUGGGGUUAUAGAGAGCUAACAGAAAAGGAUUCUGAAUGUAAAAGAAAAUGAAAUGCUAGAAACUUUUCUGCAUGCAUUUAUUAUUCCAACUUCUGUUUUUGGUCUUCUCCUUAUGAGUCAUUGUAUUAAUCAAAUCACUGACAAUGUUUUGGCUUCAGUUUCUCUCUUAAUAGCAUAAGCAGGAUGGCCAUAAAUUAACAAGGGGGUACCUGGAACAUGCAGAAAUCUUUAUUUACAGAAGCUGGUAAUCUGCAAUUACUCAGUGCAGCAUAGAGUAUUUUUAUAGUUGGUCUCAUUAAUCUAAUUCCACGUGUCAGAGUCAUAGCAUCAUCUGGAGUACUCUACCUCAUUA